rnacentral:rRNA from 1 species
GAUGAACGCUAGCGGCAGGCCUAACACAUGCAAGUCGAGGGGUAGAGGAAGCUUGCUUCCUUGAGACCGGCGCACGGGUGCGUAACGCGUAUGCAAUCUACCUUUUACAGAGGGAUAGCCCAGAGAAAUUUGGAUUAAUACCUCAUAGUAUCUUUGCCUGGCAUCGGGUGAUUAUUAAAGUUCCAACGGUAAAAGAUGAGCAUGCGUCCUAUUAGCUAGAUGGUAAGGUAACGGCUUACCAUGGCAACGAUAGGUAGGGGUCCUGAGAGGGAGAUCCCCCACACUGGUACUGAGACACGGACCAGACUCCUACGGGAGGCAGCAGUGAGGAAUAUUGGACAAUGGGCGCAAGCCUGAUCCAGCCAUGCCGCGUGCAGGAAGACGGUCCUAUGGAUUGUAAACUGCUUUUGUACGGGAAGAAACACUCCUACGUGUAGGAGCUUGACGGUACCGUAAGAAUAAGCACCGGCUAACUCUGUGCCAGCCGCCGCCGUAAGAC